rnacentral:rRNA from 1 species
UUAAAUUGAAGAGUUUGAUCAUGGCUCAGAUUGAACGCUGGCGGCAGGCCUAACACAUGCAAGUCGAACGGUAACAGGAAGCAGCUUGCUGCUUUGCUGACGAGUGGCGGACGGGUGAGUAAUGUCUGGGAAACUGCCUGAUGGAGGGGGAUAACUACUGGAAACGGUAGCUAAUACCGCAUAACGUCGCAAGACAAAGAGGGGGACCUUAGGGCCUCUUGCCAUCGGAUGUGCCAGAUGGGAUUAGCUAGUAGGUGGGGUAAUGGCUCACCUAGGCGACGAUCCCUAGCUGGUCUGAGAGGAUGACCAGCCACACUGGAACUGAGACACGGUCCAGACUCCUACGGGAGGCAGCAGUGGGGAAUAUUGCACAAUGGGCGCAAGCCUGAUGCAGCCAUGCCGCGUGUAUGAAGAAGGCCUUCGGGUUGUAAAGUACUUUCAGCGGGGAGGAAGGGAGUAAAGUUAAUACCUUU